rnacentral:rRNA from 1 species
UCCUACGGGAGGCAGCAGUGGGGAAUCUUAGACAAUGGGGGCAACCCUGAUCUAGCCAUGCCGCGUGAGUGAUGAAGGCCUUAGGGUUGUAAAGCUCUUUCAGCUGGGAAGAUAAUGACGGUACCAGCAGAAGAAGCCCCGGCUAACUCCGUGCCAGCAGCCGCGGUA